UUACGGCCAUAUCAUGUUGAAACACACCGGUUCUCGUUCGAUCAUCAAAGUUAGGCAUCGUCGAGUCAGGUCAAUACUUGGAUGGGUGACCGCUUGGGAAUACCAGGUGCUGUAA